GACGAACGCUGGCGGCGUGCUUAACACAUGCAAGUCGAACGGAAAGGCCCUGCUUUUGUGGGUUGCUCGAGUGGCGAACGGGUGAGUAACACGUGAGUAACCUGCCCUUGACUUUGGGAUAACUUCAGGAAACUGGGGCUAAUACCGGAUAGGAGCUCCUGCUGCAUGGUGGUGGUUGGAAAGUUUCGGCGGUUGGGGAUGGACUCGCGGCUUAUCAGCUUUUUGGUGGGGUAGUGGCUUACCAAGGCUUUGACGGGUAGCCGGCCUGAGAGGGUGACCGGCCACAUGGGGACUGAGAGACGGCGCAGACUCCUACGGGAGGCAGCAGUGGGGAAUAUUGCACAAUGGGCGGAAGCCUGAUGCAGCAACGCCGCGUGCGGGAUGACGGCCUUCGGGUUGUAAACCGCUUUCGCCGGUGACGAAGCGUGAGUGACGGUAAUGGGUAAAGAAGCACCGGCUAACUACGUG
rnacentral:rRNA from 1 species